AUGGGGACGGGACAAAUUGUGGCUGUCCUUCAGAUAGGUGGCGAAUUCACCACAGAUGCUGAUGGGCUUAUGUCCUAUUCUGGUGGAGAGGCACAUGCAAUGCUUGUCAAAAGUGACUGGACUUUCAGUGCAUUUAAGCAUGAGAUAUCUUCAACGCUUAAUAAUCUCAAAGUCGACCAGUUCUUGUUCAAGUAUUUCCUCCCCAAGAAUAACAGAACCUUGAUUUCUAUUUCCAAUGACAAGGACCUACAUCGCAUGGUUGAAUUCCAUGCAGAGUCGGAGACGACAUACAUUUAUGUCAUAAAGAAGGUCGACAACAGUGCAAAGAGCGUUGUUGCUGACUCCGCCACUCCUACAAAUGCAAUUGCCGUUGUCCCAACAACUCCGGAUGGGUCUAAGAGACAAAAGGUGUGCACAGAGUGGAAGGAUGUGAUCACUGGAGUCGGCCAAGUAUUUGAAAGUCCUAAGGACUUCCGGGAUGCCUUGCAUAAGUAUGCCAUUGCACAUAAGUUCCAUUACAGAUUUAUCAAGAAUGACUCAACUCGUGUUACUGCGGAAUGUACUGGUGAAGAUUGCCCAUGGCGGAUACAUGCUUCCAAGUCUCCUGCCAACAUAGAUUUCAUGAUCAAGAAAAUGUCUGAAACACACACCUGUGAAUCUGAAACUGUGAAAAGUCAUCGUUUGGCGUCACAGCGAUGGGUUGCUAGUGUUAUAAAGGAAAAGUUACGUGAUAGCCCACACUACAGGCCAAGAGACAUUGCAAAUGAUCUCCAACAGGAGUAUGGACUGUGCCUAAAUUACUCGCAGGCUUGGCGUGGAAGAUCAAUUGCUCAGAGAGAACUUUAUAGCGCACAUGAUGAGGCAUGCAUCCAGCUACCAUUGUUUUGUGAAAGGAUUAAGGAAACAAACCCUGGAAGUGUGGCAACAGUAGUGACUAUGGAAGAUUCAAAAUUCUGUUUCUUUGUUGCCUUCCAUGCAUCGCUUUAUGGUUUUGAGCAUGGGUGCAGACCACUCCUUUUCCUUGAUGCAGUAUCUGCAAAACCGAAUAAGCAAUGGAAGUUACUGACUGCUACUUCAGUUGAUGGGGAAGGCGAUGUGUUCCCAGUUGCAUUCACUGUAGUGGACAAGGAGAGCCGUGAAAAUUGGCAUUGGUUUCUUGAGCAACUAAAAUAUUCACUGUCGGCAUCUCAUGACGUAACAUUCAUAUCUAAUGGAGAAAAUGGAUUAUGGGAUGAAGUACCAUUGGUGUUCCCUGACAGUCAUCAUGGAUAUUGCAUGGACUUUCUUAUUGAAGCAUUUAAGAAGCAAUUGGAUGAUGCGUGGACUGAAGAAGUAAGAGAUGCUAUGGUUGAGCUUCUUAAGAGGGCCAUAUUUUCAUGCACAGUUGACGAGUUCAAUCAGUAUAUGGAGCAAAUUAAAAGUGAAUCUGAUAAGCUUGCUGAAUGGCUUUUGGAGAUCAAACCUGAGCGGUGGUCAGAUGCCCUUUUCAUGGGGUCGCGGUAUGGUCAGUAUUCAUGUAAUAUUUCCAACACUGUUGUUGACUGGAUCCCCACAAGAUAUGAGCUUCCAGUUGUGCAGUUGGUUGACACAAUAAGAUGCAAGCUCAUGGAGAUGAUGUACACACGCAGAGAGUCUUGUAAUGAAUGGCCUGACGGAUUAACGCCUGUAGCUAACCAGAAAUUGCAGGAAGAAGUUAGCAAAGCUCACUCACUCAAUGUUAUGCCCACAGAAAGUGAUGGGGACGGUAAUUUAUUCAAGGUAUGCGAUGACUCAGUUAAUGUUGUCAACAUUGGGACGUGUGACUGCACCUGCCGAAAGUGGAAUGUUUCUGGGUUGCCAUGCAUGCAUGCAAUUGCAGUAUUUGAGUGCACUGGGAGGUAUGCAUAUGACUUCUGUGUGGAGUAUUUCACGACGAAAAGCUACCGCUCGACCUAUUCAAUGUCCAUUAAUCCGAUACCUGAUGUUACCUUAACGGACAAUUCUCCGAGUCCAGCGACAUUACCAUUCCCCAUUCAAACUCGUCGACGGGUUGGCAGGCCGAAAGAGAAACCAGCUGAUCCGCGCAUCACAAUUAAAAGGGCAGUGCGCUGCAGCAGAUGUAAAGGCUAUGGUCACAACAAAGCAACUUGCAAAAUUCCUAUCAGCGGCGAAGCCUUGCCCGCCUUGCCACCAGCUGAGCUCUCCGAUGUACACAAUAAGGUGGAGAGUUGCUCUUGA
rnacentral:rRNA from 1 species